rnacentral:rRNA from 1 species
GACGAACCGUGCGAACGUUGUUCGGAAUCACUGGGCUUAAAGGGUGCGUAGGCGGUCGGCCGCGUCCGGGGUGAAAUCCCACGGCUCAACCGUGGAACGGCCUCGGAUACGGGCGGCCUCGAGGGGGGUAGGGGCAUCUGGAACUGUGAGUGGAGCGGUGAAAUGCGUUGAUAUUCACAGGAACUCCGGUGGCGAAGGCGAGGUGCUGGACCCCAUCUGACGCUGAGGCGCGAAAGCCAGGGGAGCGAACGGG